GCUUGUCUCAAAGAUUAAGCCAUGCAUGUCUAAGUAUAAACAAAUCUAUACUGUGAAACUGCGAAUGGCUCAUUAUAUCAGUUAUAGUUUAUUUGAUGGUUCUUGCUACUUGGAUAACCGUAGUAAUUCUAGAGCUAAUACAUGCAUCAAACCUCGACUUUUUUGGAAGAGGUGUAUUUAUUAGAUGGAAACCAAUGCGGGGCAACCCGGAUUCAGGUGAUUCAUAAUAACUUUGCGAAUCGCAUGGCCUUGCGCCGGCGAUGAAUCAUUCAAAUUUCUGCCCUAUCAACUUUCGAUGGUAAGGUAUUGGCCUACCAUGGUUACAACGGGUAACGGGGAAUUAGGGUUCGGUUCCGGAGAGGGCGCCUGAGAAAUGGCGACCACAUCCAAGGAAGGCAGCAGG
rnacentral:rRNA from 1 species